UACGUAGGGUGCGAGCGUUGUCCGGAAUUAUUGGGCGUAAAGAGCUCGUAGGCGGUGUGUCGCGUCGGCCGUGAAAACCUGCAGCUUAACUGUGGGCUUGCGGUCGAUACGGGCAUCACUGGAGUUCGGCAGGGGAGACUGGAAUUCCCAGUGUAGCGGUGAAAUGCGCAGAUAUUGGGAAGAACACCAGUGGCGAAGGCGGUUCUCUGGGACGGUACUGACGCUGAGACGCGAAAGCGUGGGGAGCGAACAGG
rnacentral:rRNA from 1 species